rnacentral:rRNA from 1 species
GCGCAUACAAAGAGAAGCGAACUCGCGAGAGCAAGCGGACCUCAUAAAGUGCGUCGUAGUCCGGAUUGGAGUCUGCAACUCGACUCCAUGAAGUCGGAAUCGCUAGUAAUCGUGGAUCAGAAUGCCACGGUGAAUACGUUCCCGGGCCUUGUACACACCGCCCGUCACACCAUGGGAGUGGGUUGCAAAAGAAGUAGGUAGCUUAACCUUCGGGAGGGCGCUUACCACUUUGUGAUUCAUGACUGGGGUGAAGUCGUAACAAGGUAACCGUAGGGGAACCUGCGGUUGGAUCACCUCCUUACCUUAAAGAA